UGCCAGCAGCCGCGGUAAGACAGAGGGUGCAAGCGUUGUUCGGAAUUAUUGGGCGUAAAGCGCGCGUAGGCGGUUUAUUAAGCCGGAUGUGAAAGCCCAGGGCUCAACCCUGGAAGUGCAUUCGGAACUGGUAGACUUGAGUCCUGGAGAGGGUGGCGGAAUUCCUGGUGUAGAGGUGAAAUUCGUAGAUAUCAGGAGGAACAUCCGUGGCGAAGGCGGCCAUCUGGACAGUGACUGACGCUGAGGCGCGAAAGCGUGGGGAGCAAACAGGAUUAGAUA
rnacentral:rRNA from 1 species